rnacentral:lncRNA from 1 species
GGCCUCCCGGAGACCCGGAUGUGAAGCGGUGCGCGAUACAAAGGCGCGUUUCCACCCAGCGCUCCGUCAGGGACAGUGGCCAAUGAGCACGUCUCGGGUGAUAAGGGACAGGAAACGUAGCCAUUCACAAGCCAGCCCCUCUCACGCAUGUGGAAAUUCUCCUGCGUAGUCUAGCCUACUCCGCGUGGUGAUUGGGCAGAGCUGUGAAGAGCGGUAGCAAUGUCGAAUCAGCAGCGGGAGCGAGAAAAGUCGCAGCCAAUAGCAGGGCUCUAGGGAGCGGGGGGCGGGGCUAGGCCUUCGCCUCGGCGGCCGAGGAGACUCGGGGGCCAUUUUGUGAAGAGACGAAGGCUGAGCGGUCGCGGCCGCGUCGUCGCCCUCGAGCAGCACUUGGCUUCUCCACGUAGAACCCGGGAGUGGGAGAUUCAGAAUCGAAUCCCUUCUCCCUCCCCCCUCCUGGUUACAAAUCUCUUGAGAUAUAUAAGUUAGUGGAGCUUUGCUUUGAGGUAGGUACUCGGAUCUUCCUCAGACAGAAACCGAGAGGCCCCAGGGUGUCGGUUGCCAGGCUCCUUAACGUAUCCUAUGGGUAGCGGGGCUGCUAGGGCAGUUUGACCUGUGGGUCAUUCUCCGAGUGAUUUUUUUUCUUCUUAUUCUUAUUUUUUUUUUUUUUUUAUAAAUACCGAUAGCUGUUGGAAUAGGAGGUACCGACGGUACCGAAUUUGAAUCUUGCCGAGAACCGAAUUAAACCGUAGUCACUAGCGGGAACUGGAAAAUUUUCCAAAUUGCCCUUUGGGAAAAAUAUUUAAUUAUGAGAAUUGGCAGUUCUUAUUAAUUUGACAUUCUGAUCUGACCUUAAAAUUCGAUUUUCGGGAUAUUCUGCCAUUGAUUUUUUUUUCUCCAAAAUACCUAAAAAGUACGUAGGUCUACAUUUUCUGGGCUACGUAUUUUUUUUUUUUUUUUUUAAAUCUUGUACCUGUUGGCGAAGCCCUGAAACUUAGUAAAAACGUUGGCUGAAUUUACAUGAAUUACAUAGGUUUCAAAGUAAUAUCCCAUUCAUUUAAGAAAUCGCCGUUAUUUUUAAUAUUUGGUGGAAGAUAGAUAUUUAAUUUCAAUGUGUUCUCACAGGAAACGUUAAAGUUUAAACCGAUACUGCAGGAUAAAUUCAUCCCUUGGGAAACCGAUAGAAGGUAAAAGGUCUUUAAACCAGAAUAGUUGAGGCACCUGUCAGUUCCCUCACCAUGUAGAUACUGUAAUAGGGAUUAAAAGCAUUACUUUUUAGAAAGAAUGUAAACACAUUACGUGAGCUUAGCACCAAAGUUUAUCAUUGCAAAGCUGCUAGGAAUGAGGUAAGGGCAGUGAUUAGUUAGAUUAGGUCAGAAACCUAAUAAUGUUGGGAAAUGAGAAACGUAAGGAAUAAUAACAAUUGACAAAAAUUGAAAUGAAGGGAACUUCUCUUGCCUUGACUUGUUAGAAAUCAUGGGUUUCUUGAGAUCACCAUGUACCAAGGAAACCAUUCCUUUGGGUUAAUAUCCAUCUGGAAAGAUUUGACCGCAGAAUUAAACAAUUUUAGAGAUGUUUUCAGGUAGGUAGGCUUUAGUAGCAUUUUCAUCUGGCUGAAGAGGAUGGAUUUUAGGAUGACUAAAUUGUAAUCUGUGACCUUUUGUGUUUCCCAUGCUCGUUAUACUGGAAUGAAUGCUUGGUGGUGGUUGCCAUUCCUUCUGUAGAGAAAUUAAACAUUUCUUUUGUUUGUGGUUAGGGUUUUAGUGAGUUUCACUUAGCAUGCAACUUUAAGGUGGAAUUGCUGUAAGAACAAGCAAGGAAUAAAUCCAAAAUACUCUAAUAUUUAAAAUUAUAG